rnacentral:rRNA from 1 species
GACGAACGCUGGCGGCGUGCUUAACACAUGCAAGUCGAACGGAAAGGCCCUGCUUUUGUGGGGUUCUCGAGUGGCGAACGCGUGUGUAACACGCGAGUAACCUGUCCUUGACUUUGGGAUAACUUCAGGAAACUGGGGCUAAUACCGGAUAGGAGCUCCUGCUGCAUGGUGGGGGUUGGAAAGUUUCGGCGGUUGGGGAUGGACUCGAGGCUUAUCAGCUUGUUGGUGGGGUAGUGGCUUACCAAGGCUUUGACGGGUAGCCGGCCUGAGAGGGUGACCGGCCACAUUGGGACUGAGGUACGGCGCAGACGGCUACGGGAGGCAGCAGUGGGGAGUAUUGCGCAAUGGGCGGAAGCCUGAUGCAGCAACGCCGCGUGCGGGAUGACGGCCUUCGGGUUGUAAACCGCUUUCGCCUGUGACGAAGCGUGAGUGACGGUAAUGGGUAAAGAAGCACCGGCUAACUACGUG